UGUAUGUAUAUGUGUGUGUGUAUGUAUGUAUAUAUGUCUACCCAUCAACUUUAUCCCUAGAGAGGUAUACAAAAUGUUUACUUUAAUAGCAGCAACUCAUUUUCAUUUGCUCUUAAUUGCUGAAAAUAUUUAGAAAUGAUCUUUUCAUCAUCGCACACUUCAUUUUGGCAUUUUAAUCAGAUUGAUUUGAACCGUAUAAAGAUUGCUUUGUUAUUACAGGAUCAUCUUUUGUAUGCGUUUUAACGGUUUCCAGCCCUUUAUCCAUCUCUGUCUCACCUUCCACAUUCUCGUACACUCAUCAGUAAUGCUGGUUCGUGACUGGGCUGGUGGGUGUGCACGCUUGUCUGUGAAAUUAUGAAUGGGGUGUGUGUGUGUGUGUGUGUGAGCGAGAAAGAGAGAGAAAGGGAGGGAUGGAGAGACACUGCAUUGUGAACCGAGAAGGAUUCACUCACCGACUGCUCACCUUCACAGACACGCAGGAGAAGGGCAGCUGAGCGGAUAGAUCAGAUUGUGUUUGAGGAGACGCUUGGUCUGAGCUCACGAUUAAAUCAUGGAUCAGAAGUCCACUUCACCUCAGAGACAUGCAGUGAAAAGCAGGUCGAAGUCUACAGAGGAGGUCCAGCAAGCUAAAAAGGCCUUCCACAUCCCCCAGAAAUCCCUGCCUGGAGGCUCAGAGCUGGAAAAGGUGAAAGAGGGACCAGAAGAAAAUGUGACUCCAGCGUCAUCCAUAGAAGAGCUCAAGUGAUGCUGCCGUUAAUCUGUGUUUCUCUCUCUCACACACACACACACACACACACACACACACACACAACGAUAAAUGCUUGGUUUUAUAAAAGUUUGGUAUAGUACAGUUCAAGUGUUAGCUCUUACGUUCGUCGGAUUUUCAGCAGCUCAACACGCGCACAAUUAUGAAACCCGCACUUCUGUUCACAGACACGAUGUUUCUUAUAAACACAGCGCUUUCAGUUUAAAUGAACGGCAUCUUUGCUAUUUCUUUACAGCCAGUAGGUGUAAAUGUGUACAUUUUGGCAGUCGUAUUAAUAUUUAGGGUGUCUGACGUGAUCCACAGAGCCCCUAAAGUGACGUUGUGGUGAAAAAACUUAGAUGGAAGUUAUGAGAUAUAUUUCAAUGCUUUUGUACUGAAUGCUUUUGCAUUUUGCAUCACAAAAGUGAUAUAAAGCAAGGUUAGUGAACAGUUUUUCACGAGAAGUAAAUACACUUUUCCUCCCAUCUAUUUUUUAAACCAUGAUGUAUUUUUAGAGGCUGCAUAGACUCCAUUAGAUAUCCAAAUGAGUCUUUUUUUUUCCAGCACAUUCUGCUGUCUACUUGUAUGUUUAUUGAAAGUUUUUUUUUUUUUUUUUUUUUUUUUUUACUCCACGCUGGUUUCUCGUGCAUUUAGGCCCCUGUGAGUCAACCAGUGUCAGACGCUCAUUUGUUGACUUAUUUAUUGGCAUCGGCUGAACAGAGCUGACGUACCGUAUGAGUCAGCUGAAGAUGUUGUGUAAGUGUUUACAGUAUCCAUGCCGUAAGUUAAACAGUUUGUGCUAAUAAAGUUUUAACCACUCAUCGUGCUGAAGUUCAGUGAUUAAGUGAAUCGCUCUCACAGCUGUGAAGAUAAAUGCAAACCUUGCAGUCUAUGUAGUUUCUGACCAAAGUAAAAUGAAACCGCUGUCAACAUGUGUUUAAGUAAAGCUUAAAUUUACGGUCAUCCGGGAUGGAGGCUAGAUGAGCUUUUUCUUCAUUGGAUUCGGGGGAAAUGUAGGAUUGCAUCACUUGCUCAGCAAUGUGUCCUGUGCAGUGAAUGGGUGCCACGGAGUGCUUAAUUUGUACAUUAAAACUCCCUGAAAAAAAUGCUUGCUCUCUCCAAGGGCCGCUUAAAAGUUGAGCGCUCACCGUCUCCUCCAAAGCCGACUCUCGAGUAUCACAGUGAGUUAUUUUCUUAAGUUGAACACACACACACACACACACACACACA